rnacentral:rRNA from 1 species
AUGAACGCUAGCGGCAGGCUUAACACAUGCAAGUCGAGGGGCAUCGAGAGUAGCAAUACUUGUCGGCGACCGGCGCAAGGGUGCGUAACACGUGAGCAACAUACCCUAAUCAGGGAGGAUAACCGGAGGAAACUCUGCCUAAUACUCCAUAAUAUCAUCUUAUGGCAUCAUGAAAUGAUAAAAGAUUUAUCGGAUUCGGAUUGGCUCGCGGGACAUUAGCUAGUUGGCGAGGUAACGGCUCACCAAGGCUACGAUGUCUAGGGGUUCUGAGAGGAAGGUCCCCCACACUGGAACUGAGACACGGUCCAGACUCCUACGGGAGGCAGCAGUGAGGAAUAUUGGACAAUGGUCGGAAGACUGAUCCAGCCAUGCCGCGUGAAGGUUACUGUCCUAUGGAUAUUAAACUUCUUUUUUACGGGAGCAAUAAGGUGCACGCGUGCAUCGAUGAGAGUACCGUACGAAUAAGCAUCGGCUAACUCCGUG